rnacentral:rRNA from 1 species
UGGCGAACGGGUGAGUAACGCGUGAGGAACCUGCCUCAAAGAGGGGGACAACAGUUGGAAACGACUGCUAAUACCGCAUAAGCCCACGACCCGGCAUCGGGUAGAGGGAAAAGGAGCAAUCCGCUUUGAGAUGGCCUCGCGUCCGAUUAGCUAGUUGGUGAGGUAACGGCCUACCAAGGCGACGAUCGGUAGCCGGACUGAGAGGUUGAACGGCCACAUUGGGACUGAGACACGGCCCAG